GAGUUUGAUCCUGGCUCAGAAUCAACGCUGGCGGCGUGCCUAACACAUGCAAGUCGAACGAGAAAGUGGAGCAAUCCAUGAGUAAAGUGGCGCACGGGUGAGUAACACGUGACUAACCUACCCUUGAGUGGGGGAUAACCUAGGGAAACCUGGGCUAAUACCGCAUAAUACCUUCGGGUCAAAGGAGCAAUUCGCUUAAGGAGGGGGUCGCGGCCGAUUAGUUAGUUGGCGGGGUAAUGGCCCACCAAGACUAUGAUCGGUAUCCGGCCUGAGAGGGCGCACGGACACACUGGAACUGAAACACGGUCCAGACUCCUACGGGAGGCAGCAGUGGGGAAUUUUGCGCAAUGGGGGAAACCCUGACGCAGCAACGCCGCGUGGAGGAUGAAGUCCCUUGGGACGUAAACUCCUUUCGAUCGGGACGAUUAUGACGGUACCGAGAGAAGAAGCCCCGGCUAACUUCGUGCCAGCAGCCGCGGUAAUACG
rnacentral:rRNA from 1 species